rnacentral:rRNA from 1 species
CCUACGGGAGGCUGCAGUGAGGAAUAUUGGUCAAUGGCCGGAAGGCUGAACCAGCCAAGCCGCGUGAGGGAGGAAGGCGCAGAGCGUCGCAGACCUCUUUUGCCGGGGGACAAAAGUCCGGGCGGGUCCGGUUCUGAGGGUACCCGGAGAAAAAGCAUCGGCUAAAUCCGGACCAGCAGCCGCGGGAAUACGGAGGAUGCGAGCGUUAUCCGGAUUCAUUGGGGUUAAAGGGUGCGCAGGCGGGCCUUUAAGCCGGCGGGGAAAUCGCGGGGCUAAGCCCAGCCGAGCCGUCGGAACUGGGGGCCUUGAGUGCGGCGGAGGGAGGCGGAAUGCGCGGUGUAGCGGUGAAAUGCAUAGAGAUCGCGCAGAACCCCGAUUGCGAAGGCAGCGUGCCGUGCCGCCACUGACGCUGAGGCACGAAAGCGCGGGGAUCGAACAGGAUUAGAUACCCUAGUAGUC